rfam:Callithrix jacchus chromosome 10, whole genome shotgun sequence
CUGCAACUAGUUAACCUCCUGACUUGUCCACCUCCCUGAUGGGGGCUUAGUGUGCAGUGUCUGCAAAAUGGAGAUUCCCUGGUUGUGUAUACACAUCGUUUCUUGAAUGUGUUGCUUUAAUGGUUCUUGAAGACAUUA